rnacentral:sRNA from 1 species
GAUGCCAGGGUCAAAAGGUAAAAUACCGUUCAUGCUUGCAUGAUAAGGUAUUUUGCCUUGGGACCCGCUAAACAUGAGGAAGUAACGAUUUACACAGUAAAUCUGUGGAUUCCGAAUGUUUAUAGUAUUGUAGCAUAAAAUGAGGAACGUUUC